CCUACGGGUGGCAGCAGUGGGGAAUCUUGGACAAUGGAGGGAACCCUGAUCCAGCGACGCCGCGUGAGUGAAGAAGUAUUUCGGUAUGUAAAGCUCUAUCAGCAGGGAAGAAAAUGACGGUACCUGACUGAGAAGCCCCGGCUAACUACGAGCCAGCAGCCGCGGUCAUACGAAGGGGGAAAGCGUUAUCCGGAUUUAAUGGGUGUAAAGGGAGCGUAGACGGUGUAGCAAGUCUGAUGUGAAAGGUCGGGGCCCAACCCCGGGACUGCAUUGGAAACUGUUGAACUGGAGUACAGGAGAGGAAAGCGGAAUUCCUAGUGUAGCGGUGAAAUGCGUAGAUAUUAGGAGGAACUCCAGUGGCGAAGGCGGCUUACUGGACUGUAACUGACGGUGAGGCUCGAAAGCGUGGGGAGCAAACAGGAUUAGAUACCCGUGUAGUC
rnacentral:rRNA from 1 species